UUGAUACUCUCUCCGUCCGAAAAUACUUGUCAUCAAAAUGGACAAAAAUGGAUGUAUUUAGAACUAAAAUAAAUUUAGAUACAUUCCCUUUUAUUCAUUUUGAGUACAAGUAUUUCCGGACGGAGGGAGUACUUC
rfam:Triticum aestivum genome assembly, contig: Triticum_aestivum_CS42_TGACv1_scaffold_470858_6AL